AUGGGGAGGAAGCCUGAUCCGGCGAAGCCACACUACGGCGGCGGCUCCGCCUCGCCGAAGACGGCGAGGAGGGCUCAGCCUUCCCCGGUGUUCCUGGGCACGGCUCUGUUCGUCCUAGGCUUCGUAUCGCUCUUCACCGGGCACAUCGUCACCGACGCCGACUGGUCGCGGAUCCGGAGCCGGUGGCGGUCCAAUCAGGUUAGAAACACCGAACCCAUUGAUAUUUGGAAAUCAAGAUAUUCCAACUUGUACUACGGAUGCAGUGGGAGGAGCCCAAAAUUAAGAUCAGCUGUGCCGGAGAACAGUUCUACUGGCUACUUGCUGAUUGCUACUAGCGGGGGACUGAACCAACAACGCAUAGGGAUAACAGAUGCUGUUGUUGUUGCCUGGAUUUUGAAUGCCACACUUGUUGUGCCCGAGUUAGACCACCACUCAUUCUGGAAGGAUGACAGUGAAUUCUCCGAUAUUUUUGACACGGACUGGUUCAUAUCGUACCUAUCAAAGGAUGUAACUGUUGUUAAAAGGAUCCCUUAUGAAGUUAUGAUAUCAAUGGAUAAACUUCCAUGGACCAUGCGGACACCUAGAAAAUCCAUGCCUGAGUUUUACAUUGAUGAAGUUUUGCCUAUUCUGAUGCGAAGGAGAGCUUUGCAGCUAACUAAGUUUGAUUAUCGGCUCGCCAAUGAUCUUGAUGAAGAAUUGCAGAAGUUACGGUGUCGAGUAAACUUUCAUGCAUUAAGAUUCAAAAAGCCCAUACAAACUUUGGGUAAAAAAUUGGUGCGAAGAUUGAGAGUCAUGAGCUCACGAUAUGUCGCCAUUCACUUGAGGUUUGAACCUGACAUGCUUGCAUUUUCUGGCUGUUACUAUGGUGGUGGUGAAAAAGAAAGAAAGGAACUGGCUGAAAUUAGGAAACGGUGGGAUACAUUACCUCAGGACUUAAGUGCUGAGGAUGAGCGCACCAGGGGAAAAUGUCCAUUAACUCCUCACGAAAUUGGUUUAAUGCUGCGAGCUGUUGGUUUUGGCAAUGAAACUUACCUGUAUGUUGCUUCUGGAGAAAUAUAUGGCGGAGAAGAAACUCUUCGGCCUCUGCGCGAACUCUUUCCAAACUUCUACACCAAGGAGAUGCUUGCUGGCGAUGAUCUGAAACCAUUCCUUCCUUUUUCUUCACGAUUGGCUGCUAUCGACUUCAUUGUAUGUGAUGAGAGUGAUGUUUUUGUUACCAAUAAUAAUGGAAACAUGGCCAAGGUGUUAGCUGGACGCAGGCGAUACAUGGGCCAUAAGAGAACUAUUCGCCCAAACACGAGAAAGCUCAAUGUAUUAUUUCAGACAUGGAAUCAAACGGGUUGGGAUACAUUUUCACGGAAGGUAAAGAAAAUCCAGCGGGGCCUUAUGGGGGAACCAGAUGAUCCCAGACAUGGACGAGAUGAUUUCCAUGAGAUGCCAUCAUCUUGUAUCUGCCAAAGAGUGCCAGUGAACAGAUCGGCAACGAUGCAAACUCGAAACUUGUUAUCUCAAGUGAGGUAG
rnacentral:rRNA from 1 species